rnacentral:rRNA from 1 species
UACGGAGGGGGCUAGCGUUGUUCGGAAUUAUUGGGCGUAAAGCGCGCGCAGGUGGUUUCUUAAGUCUGAUGUGAAAGCCCACGGCUCAACCGUGGAGGGUCAUUGGAAACUGGGAGACUUGAGUGCAGAAGAGGAAAGUGGAAUUCCAUGUGUAGCGGUGAAAUGCGUAGAGAUAUGGAGGAACACCAGUGGCGAAGGCGACUUUCUGGUCUGUAACUGACACUGAGGCGCGAAAGCGUGGGGAGCAAACAGG